GGUCCGUUAACGCAGUGGUUAGUGCGCUCGCUUUUAAUAGCUUUUGUAACCGGUUAAACUAGUUAUAGAGGCCUAUCCUUAGGCUGGUUUAUCUUGUCGAGAGGUCGUGGGUUCAAAUCCCACACGGGCCG